AUGCUCACUUUUGUAACACAUGUACAUCAAUUGAAAAGAAGGGGCAACGACUAGCAUAGUCUCUAUGUAAGGAUGACAUACAAACCCAUGAUGUAUACCAUGUUUAA
rnacentral:snRNA from 1 species